UAUUACAAAAUAACCUGAGGAGGAUCGAAAUACAUGGAACUUGUUUCUGCUGUUGAAUUGAGCUGAUAAGUUGUUGAGGUGAAAGCAUCGUUUGUGACUAGAUGUGAGAAGAAAGAGCCCACAGAAGACUCUCUCUUGUUGUGAGAAUAAAGUGACUAUAACUUGGAGAGACAAUUGUUUCUCUCAGUGAGAUGCAGUGUGAGAAUGACGGGAGCCGAUUGUGCGGAAUAGCAUGGGCUGAGCUGCCAACCAAUCCAACGUAGUACCGAACCAAAUUGGAUGGAUACUUGGAGAGGGUGAUCACCACUGCUGUGCAGGACGUUCAAGAUCUCCAUACUUGGAUUGUGGAAGUCAUUGACACCUUUCCUCCAGACACAUUGCAGAGAAUCUGGAUGGAAAUUGAAAACAGACUCGACAUCCUUCGUGUCAGUGCAGGGGCUCACAUGGGAGUGUUUUGAUUUGUUGUUGUUGUAAUUUUUUUUUCCCCAAAACUUAUUUUCACAUACAACUUAUUUUUGUGAAAAACGAAGUUAUUUCAUUUAGUUUUGUAUAUGGAACACAUUUACAGUAGGGAAUUUUGGUGUAGACACCCUGCACAGUGUAACUUAAUCUUGAAUUACUGUAUGGCAUUUUAAGUGCAUAUUUACAUAGAUAACUCCGUAAGGAAUUGGCACUGCGUCUUCCUUCUGCAUUGUAUAAGUUUUGUUGUUUCUGUUUCAAUUAACUGUUUCUGUUGCAUAUGCACAAAUGUUUAUUAUUAUUUGUUAAUGCUCAUGAAAGUGAAUAUAUGUCUCAAGUCAGUUUUACCUUAGUUAUUCUUACUACUAUUGAUAUUUAAAGAGUUACACCACUUUUUGUUCGUCAGAUUGUCUUAAAGCAAAUUUCUAAUUCAUUUUUGUACAGAAUGAGUGUUUGACUACCCUACUAUAUUGAUAUUUUUAUAAACUGACAGUAUAAAACAUUUGAACUCACAUAAUGUAACAAUCAGUGCAAGACAAGGACGUAUCUCAUGUAAUUCCUUCAACAUUCAUAGGUAAUUAUUGUACCAUAGUACAUUACAUAAAUAUACAAGUGAUCACAUCUGUUUGAGGGGAGACAGGGUUGUCGUUGCCCAGCGUAUUGAAAUAUUUUCUGCUCUUAUUUGUGAAACGAACAUUACCAAGUGACUUACAACUCGCUGCUUUCAUGAGACACUGCAUGCAUCAUUUCUUACAUCGCUUUGUUCUCACUCUCCCAUUAAGAAGUUACUGUUACUAUAUUGUCCAUGGUAAUUAUUAUUCACACAUACUUCAUUAUUUCAUUUUUCAUUCAUCUUCACAUGGGAUAGUUGAUGCUCUGUUGUGUACAUAGUUCCGCGUAGUCAGCGCAUACACAACUUUCCCAAUAGAGCGCACCUCGCUGAGCACAACAGCGCAGGCGCAGCACUCGUCUGUCUCCGCACUACGAGAUGGCGCUGUCUUAGAGACGGACCAAAUUCUGCUUCCGCCGAUCCGUGUAUUAAUAUGUAACACUGCCAAUGAGAUUGCUGCUAACGUAGAACCUUUUCUCCUCACUGAUCAUACUCGCGCAGUGAUACCUGAACGCUCGAGGUAUUAUAACGAGUGUACAGACCUCUGAUUAGUCAGUCUGCAUUAGUCUGUGCCUAAUAAGAUUAUCAUAUUCCUGUACAUAACCAUGAAGAGAAAUGUAUAGACACUUUGUCAAGUAUCAGAGAUAUGUGAGAAUAAGAUUAAUGUACCAAGACCAAAGGAACUUCAGAUUGUCAAUUGUAAAUAGUGUGGUGUCACUGCCAGACACCACACUUGCUAGGUGGUAGCUUAAAUCGGCCGCGGUCCAUUAGUACAUGUCGGACCUGCGUGUCGCCACUGUGUGAUCGCAGACCGAGCGCCACCACACGGCAGGUCUCGAGAGACGUACGAGAACUCGUCCCAGUUGUACGGCGACGUUGCUAGCGACAAUACUGACGAAGCCUUUGCUCUCAUUUGCCGAGAGACAGUUAGAAUAGCCUUCAGUUAAGUUAAUGGCUACGACUUAGCAAGGCGCCAAUUGUAUCAGUGCAUGUAUCUUACGAGUCUCAUUUGUAUAGUCAAGAGAGAUGUAUCACAAGGAUUGAUUAAAAGUUAAGUAUAUUCCAAA